CUUGUAACGCAGUGGAUAGCGCGUUGGACAUCUAAUCCAAAGGUCGUGGGUUCGAAUCUUACCUGAGAGA